UACAGAGGCCUCGAGCGUUAGGCGGAAUCACUGGGCUUAAAGCGUGUGUAGGUGGAUGCCUAAGUACCUUGUGAAACUCCCAACGGCUUAACCGUGGAACUGCUGGGUAUACUGGGUGUCUUGAGCCACUCAGGGGCUACCGGAACAAACGGUGGAGCGGUGAAAUGCGUAGAUAUCGUUUGGAACGCCAAUGGUGAAAACGAGGUAGCUGGGGG
rnacentral:rRNA from 1 species